UCAGUAAUUACAUUAUAUUAAAAUUAAACAAGAUUGGAUGUCUAGUUCCACAAACAAUUUCGAAAACUUGUCUGUAGGCCUAUAGCCAUUUACCACCAACUGCUAUUCAUGUGUCUCUUUGGAAAACAAUGUUAUACUGUCCAGAGAUGUGUCCACGGAAAGAGCCAAACAUGCCAACUUUACAGCGCCGUCAAAGUCCUCUUCCAAACUCGCCAUACUGCCUAGUUUUCGAGUUUGAGGGGGAGCACAAUACGGUAACGCCAGCAACCGGAAGGGGAGGAGUCGCGGCCAAAUCGGCCCCUAAGCAAUAGACGCUGUCCACUUCCGUUCAGCCAGACUACCCUUUCCCUAAUACCAUUGAAUUAAUUGUUUUCUGGCCUUAAUUCUGAAAACUGUCUUUGUUUAUUUCAUUUAUUUUCCCAGAAAUGGAAGCGUUUUAUACGGAAGUCAAGCAUUACCUCAAUCUAAACACAUACCACAGCCUAACAACAACCGCCCCAAACCCAUGGAGCAGGAAGGCCAACAUUAGGAGGCUCUCAAAGACCUACCUUCUGAAAGAUAUACGACAACAUAAAAGUGGCCCAGAAAAGGCAGAAGAAGGCCUUUGAACAGGCGAAGGGGAAGAAAUUUCAGUCUUUCUUAUUCAAAGAUGGGGAUGAGGUCAUGAAGGCCAACAUGAGGAAGCAAGGGCGAAAAGGGGGCAAACUAGAAGGCAACUGGUCCGGGCCUUAUGUAAUUUCCUCCUUGUCGUCCAAGGGUGUGGCAACGCUGACCAGCAGGACAGGGGUUCAGCUGAAACAGAAGGCCAAUGUUUCCCAGCUGAAGCCUUUCAUUAGGCCUACAUUCAGAGACUCCUGCAAGCCCGAGCCUGAUGUCCCGACCCAAUUGGCCACUGACCACCAGUAUGCCUCCACUGGAGUGGUCUAUUUAAAGAAAAUAAAUCCUGUUCAGGACAUGCUGGUAUAG
rnacentral:lncRNA from 1 species